rnacentral:rRNA from 1 species
AUUAUGGCUCAGAACGAACGCUGGCGGCGUGGAUAAGACAUGCAAGUCGAACGGGAUUUCAUUUGUAGCAAUACCGAUGAAGUCUAGUGGCGGACGGGUGCGUAACACGUGAGCAAUCUGCCGGGAAGUGGGGGAUAACUCGCCGAAAGGCGAAUUAAUACCGCAUGUGGCCAAGGGGGACAUCCUCCUGAAGCCAAAGUCGCAAGACGCUUCCUGAUGAGCUCGCGGCCUAUCAGCUAGUUGGUGAGGUAACGGCUCACCAAGGCUAUGACGGGUAGCUGGUCUGAGAGGACGACCAGCCACACUGGAACUGAGACACGGUCCAGACACCUACGGGUGGCAGCAGUCGAGAAUUUUUCACAAUGGGGGAAACCCUGAUGGAGCGACGCCGCGUGGAGGAUGAAGGUCUUCGGAUUGUAAACUCCUGUCAAAUGGGAACAAGAAAGUGAUAGUACCAUUAGAGGAAGAGACGGCUAACUCUGUGCCAGCAGCCGCGGUAAUACAGAGGUCUCAAGCGUUGUUCGGAUUCAUUGGGCGUAAAGGGUGCGCAGGCUGUGGGGUAAGUCGGAUGUGAAAUUCAGGGGCUCAACCCCUGACCUGCAUUCGAUACUGCUCCGCUAGAGGACUGUAGAGGAGAUUGGAAUUCACGCCGUAGCAGUGAAAUGCGUAGAUAUCGUGAGGAAGACCAGUGGCGAAGGCGAAUCUCUGGGCAGUUCCUGACGCUCAUGCACGAAGGCCAGGGGAGCAAACGGGAUUAGAUACCCCGGUAGUCCUGGCAGUAAACGGUGCACGUUUGGUGUGGGAGGAUUCGACCCCUUCCGUGCCGGAGCUAACCCGUUCAACGUGCCGCCUGGGAAGUACGGUCAUAAGAU